GACGAACGCUGGCGGCGUGCUUAACACAUGCAAGUCGAACGGAAAGGCCUCUUUCGGGGGGUACUCGAGUGGCGAACGGGUGAGUAACACGUGAGUAACCUGCCCUUGACUUUGGGAUAACUUCAGGAAACUGGGGCUAAUACCGGAUAGGAGCUCCUGCUGCAUGGUGGGGGUUGGAAAGUUUCGGCGGUUGGGGAUGGACUCGCGGCUUAUCAGCUUGUUGGUGGGGUAGUGGCUCACCAAGGCUUUGACGGGUAGCCGGCCUGAGAGGGUGACCGGCCGCAUUGAGACUGAGUUACGGCCCGGACUCCUACGGGAGGCAGCAGUGGGGAAUAUUGCACAAUGGGUGGGAGCAUGAUGCAGCAACGCCGUGUGCGGGAUGACGGCCUUCGGGUUGUAAACCGCUUUCGCUCAUGACGGAGCUUUGUGUGACGGUAGUGGGUAAAGAAGCACCGGCUAACUACGUG
rnacentral:rRNA from 1 species